CAGCCGCCGCGGUAAUACGUAGGGUGCGAGCGUUAAUCGGAUUUACUGGGCGUAAAGCGUGCGCAGGCGGCCCGUUAAGACAGGUGUGAAAUCCCUGGGCUCAACCUAGGAAUUGCGCUUGUGACUGGCGGGCUCGAGUACGGUAGAGGGGGGUGGAAUUCCUGGUGUAGCAGUGAAAUGCGUAGAGCUCAGGAGGAACACCGAUGGCGAAGGCAGCCCCCUGGGCCUGUACUGACGCUCAUGCACGAAAGCGUGGGGAGCAAACAGGAUUAGAUACCCUGGUAGUCCACGCCCUAAACGAUGGGUACUAGCCGUUUGGUGCGCGAUAGCGCUGAGUGGCGAAGCUAACGCGUGAAGUACCCCGCCUGGGGAGUACGGCCGCAAGGUUGAAACUUAAAGGAAUUGGCGGG
rnacentral:rRNA from 1 species